rnacentral:rRNA from 1 species
GAUGAACGCUGGCGGCGUGCCUAAUACAUGCAAGUCGAGCGAACGGACGAGAAGCUUGCUUCUCUGAUGUUAGCGGCGGACGGGUGAGUAACACGUGGAUAACCUACCUAUAAGACUGGGAUAACUUCGGGAAACCGGAGCUAAUACCGGAUAAUAUUUUGAACCGCAUGGUUCAAAAGUGAAAGACGGUCUUGCUGUCACUUAUAGAUGGAUCCGCGCUGCAUUAGCUAGUUGGUAAGGUAACGGCUUACCAAGGCAACGAUGCAUAGCCGACCUGAGAGGGUGAUCGGCCACACUGGAACUGAGACACGGUCCAGACUCCUACGGGAGGCAGCAGUAGGGAAUCUUCCGCAAUGGGCGAAAGCCUGAUGGAGCAACGCCGCGUGAGUGAUGAAGGUCUUCGGAUCGUAAAACUCUGUUAUUAGGGAAGAACAUAUGUGUAAGUAACUGUGCACAUCUUGACGGUACCUAAUCAGAAAGCCACGGCUAACUACGUG